ACGUGAUCUGAGUUCAGACCGGAGUAAUCCAGGUCAGUUUCUAUCUAUAAAGAAACUUUUCUAGUACGAAAGGACCGAAAAGAUAUGGCCUAUAUUUUAACAAGCCAUAAUUAUUAAUUUAUGAAUUAAACUUAAUUACUUAAUUAACUUUUAUAAUACUCAAAAACAGAGCA
rnacentral:rRNA from 1 species